AGGGAUCAUUAUCGAGUUUACAACUCCCAAACCCAAUGUGAACGUUACCAAACUGUUGCCUCGGUGGGGUCACGCCCCGGGUGCGUAAAAGCCCCGGAACCAGGCGCCCGCCGGAGGAACCAACCAAACUCUUUCUGUAGUCCCCUCGCGGACGUAUUUCUUACAGCUUUGAGCAAAAAUUCAAAAUGAAUCAAAACUUUCAACAACGGAUCUCUUGGUUCUGGCAUCGAUGAAGAACGCAGCGAAAUGCGAUAAGUAAUGUGAAUUGCAGAAUUCAGUGAAUCAUCGAAUCUUUGAACGCACAUUGCGCCCGCCAGUAUUCUGGCGGGCAUGCCUGUCCGAGCGUCAUUUCAACCCUCGAACCCCUCCGGGGGGUCGGCGUUGGGGAUCGGGACCCCUCACCGGGUGCCGGCCCUGAAAUACAGUGGCGGUCUCGCCGCAGCCUCUCCUGCGCAGUAGUUUGCACAACUCGCACCGGGAGCGCGGCGCGUCCACGUCCGUAAAACACCCAACUUCUGAAAUGUUGACCUCGGAUCAGGUAGGAAUACCCGCUGAACUUAAGCAUAUCA
rnacentral:rRNA from 1 species